rnacentral:rRNA from 1 species
UCUAAGUGCGAAGCCCACCUCAAGAUGAGAUUACCCAUUCGUAAGAAUUAAGAGCCCAGAGAGAUGAUCUGGUAGAUAGGCUGGAAGUGGAAGAGUUGCGAGACUUGGAGCGGACCAGUACUAAUCGCUCGAGGACUUUACCAAAA